UGGCGGACGGGUGAGUAACGCGUGGAAAACCUGCCGUAUACUGGGGGAUAACACUUAGAAAUAGGUGCUAAUACCGCAUAAGCGCACAGCUUCGCAUGAAGCGGUGUGAAAAACUCUGGUGGUAUACGAUGGUUCCGCGUCCGAUUAGCUAGUUGGUGGGGUAAUGGCCUACCAAGGCAACGAUCAGUAGCCGGCCUGAGAGGGUGAACGGCCACAUUGGGACUGAGACACGGCCCAAACUCCUACGGAAGGCAGCAG
rnacentral:rRNA from 1 species